CGGGGUUAAGCGAGAUGGGGGAGGGCCAGACCAAUGGGCAGCCACUGCCUCCUCCCCAGCAUGAUCAAGGAGCACAACUCAAUUACCCCAGAAACGUGAAGCUUCAGAGAUCCAUCUCAGCAGUUCCAGGAGGGGCUUGUAACCUGUCCCCUCCUGGACUGUGAAAAGAACAUAUAGCCCGACCUCCCUGCCAACAAGCUGUACCAUCGGGAAGAGGAGAGCCCAACGGUAGAAGCUCAUCAAUGAUUCCCAGCCUCUGUUUCCAUCAGAAUUGCUUGAUGAAGCUCCUUUAACACAAAUAGAUUUACUCACAUUCCUUAACUGUAAAAGGUGUGCAUGUGCCAGCAGGGGUUCUGGAAUCAUGUACCUUUGUCAGAGCUCCCCCAUUUAAUUCUGAUACAAUUCCACGUGGGUAUUA
rnacentral:lncRNA from 1 species